rnacentral:rRNA from 1 species
AUUGAACGCUGGCGGCAUGCCUUACACAUGCAAGUCGAACGGCAGCACGGGAGCAAUCCUGGCGGCGAGUGGCGAACGGGUGAGUAAUGUAUCGGAACGUGCCCAGUCGUGGGGGAUAACGUAGCGAAAGCUACGCUAAUACCGCAUACGAUCUAUGGAUGAAAGCGGGGGAUCGCAAGACCUCGCGCGAUUGGAGCGGCCGAUAUCAGAUUAGGUAGUUGGUAGGGUAAAGGCUCACCAAGCCGACGAUCUGUAGCUGGUCUGAGAGGACGACCAGCCACACUGGGACUGAGACACGGCCCAGACUCCUACGGGAGGCAGCAGUGGGGAAUUUUGGACAAUGGGCGAAAGCCUGAUCCAGCAAUGCCGCGUGCAGGAUGAAGGCCUUCGGGUUGUAAACUGCUUUUGUACGGAACGAAACGGCGAACUCUAAUACAGUUUGCUAAUGACGGUACCGUAAGAAUAAGCACCGGCUAACUACGUGCCAGCAGCCGCGGUAA